UACUCGAGUGGCGAACGGGUGAGUAACACGUGGGUGAUCUGCCCUGCACUUCGGGAUAAGCUUGUGAAACUGGGUCUAAUACCGGAUAGGAGCCAUCUUUAGUGUGGUGGUUGGAAAGUUUUUUCGGUGUAGGAUGAGCUCGCGGCCUAUCAGCUUGUUGGUGGGGUAAUGGCCUACCAAGGCGGCGACGGGUAGCCGGCCUGAGAGGGUGUACGGCCACAUUGGGACUGAGAUACGGCCCAG
rnacentral:rRNA from 1 species